rnacentral:tRNA from 1 species
GCCGGCGUAGCUCAGUGGUAGAGCAACCGCCUUGUAAGCGGUGGGUCGUGGGUUCAAAUCCCUCCGCCGGCUCAA